rnacentral:rRNA from 1 species
AUUGAACGCUGGCGGCAGGCCUAACACAUGCAAGUCGAACGAGUGGCGGACGGGUGCGUAAUGUCUGGGAAACUGCCUGAGGGAGGGGGAAAAAUAAUGGAAACGGUAGCUAAUACAGCAUACCAGCAGAUGUGCCCAUAUGGGCUUAGCUAGUUGGUGGGGGAACGGCUCACCAAGGCGACGAUCCCUAGCUGGUCUGAGAGGAGGACCAGCCACACUGGAACUGAGACACGGUCCAGACUCCUACGGGAGGCAGCAGUGGGGAAUAUUGCACAAUGGGCGCAAGCCUGAUGCAGCCAUGCCGCGUGUAUGAAGAAGGCCUUCGGGUUGUAAAGUACUUUCAGCGGGGAGGCGUUACCCGCAGAAGAAGCACCGGCUAACUCCGUGCCAGCAGCCGCGGUAAUUC